AGUGCAGGAGGGAGGUACCGCCGCCCGGGCGCUCCAUCCCACUCUACUGCUUAUCUCAACCCGGAGAGUCAGGGACCACUUCUCUCCUCGCAUUCUCUGUGCACUUUACGGGAGGUCAGUUUUUUUUUUUUUUCCCCCUGUCCUCCCUGGACCACCAAGCGGGGAGGAACAAGAGGUCUGAGUGGCACAGGGGGUUGUUCUGGCAUUAAGGUGACUUGUGACAGUGCAGCCUUUAGGGUCAGGGGCAGAGAGGCGGUUCUACGCAGCCGUUUAUUAUUUCUUUUUCCUUCUGGCGAGCUGUAUGUUCUCCUCCCACCGCGGGUCCCUUCCUUUCCCUCCCGCUUUUUCUUUUUCUUUUCAUAUUAUUUAUUUAUUUAUUUUUUAGCUAAGUGACACAGGCAACACCUGCUCGCGUGCGUUCGCCGAUGGAACUUGCACCUUUCGGGGGGUGAGGGUCCAGCGGCGGAUUUUCUUGCCCGGUAACGCAGGAUGCCCAGGGGGGCCGCGGCGACGUUGCCCGGGGCUCUGUCCGCCGCUCCUGGAGGCGGCAUCGAGGGGCUGCCGCUGGUCAGGAGCUGCUGCUAAGGCGGCGGGGACCCGGCUCAAAGUCUCGGGGAGGGCACCGGCGGGCACCGCUCCGCUUAGGGGCCCUGGAGCCGCCGUCCUGGGAGUUUUUCCCGCGGAGGACGCCUGAGCUCAGAGCCUCUCUUGGCUCCCUCGAACGUCCCCAGCACCUUGGGCACCCGGAGGACUUAAACGCGCCGGGGCACCCGACCAUCCGCGGCAGAGACUGACUGCUCGCUUGAAGGUGCAUUGCUCGCUCCAAAUUGCCUUUUCCCGGAGAGAGAAAGAAAGAGGGAGAGAGAAAGGGAGAGGGGGAAAAAAAAAGGGAGUGGGUUCGGGGGAGACGAGAAGGAGGGAUGUGUGCCUAGGUAAGGGUGCAACCGGGGCAGCCUGCGGAGGCGAGAGGACAAGUCUUCCCCGGCGUUCAGAGAGCUGACACAUCGGACACGGAGUCAGAGCGGUGACCGCGGCAAGACCGCCGGGGGUCCCUGCGGGCGCGGGAGCCGAGCGCGCCGCGCCCCACCCGGCCAGGGCCGCCCGGCCACCUCGGCGGGCGCGCCAGCGGCGGGGACUUCGGCGUGUCCCCGCGUCCCACCCAGCCUUUGAUGACUUUCACCCGGCGGAAGAGCGAGGGCGGAAAGAAAGGAGCGAGGAUCCCGCACUCCGCCGCCCACCGCGCGCGAGGUGGGGGAACUCCAGUUCGGAUGCUCAGAGAUUCCUGAUUCCUCUUUGCCAGCCGAGGAGGCAAGACACGCGCGCGCACGCACAGACACACACAGACACACACACACAGACACACACACACGCGCGCACACACACACGCACGCUCAGGGCCACGCUCGCACGCCCUUCGCGAUCACACACACACACACACACACACACACGCACAGACACACACCGCCAGACUGGGGUUCCUUAUGCCCCUGCCUGGUGCCGGCGGAUUGGCAUCUUGGAAGCGAUGCAAGAGCGAUAAGGCUGGCGCUGGCCCGCGGAAACUGCUGGAGCAUCGCUAGGUGUUGCCUCCACCGGGAAGCCGGGCUGCAGGUAUAAGAGUUUAUUGAGUCCAAGCCUGAGGCUCACUAGGAAAGAAAGAUUCAACAGAAGGAAAAGAAUCCCUGGAGGGAGAGCUUUCCUGGACUCUUUUUCCUCUUUUUGGGGAUGAGUAAGAGAUACUUACAGAAAGCAACAAAAGGAAAACUUAUAAUCAUAAUAUUUAUUGUAACCUUGUGGGGGAAAGUUGUACUCAGUGCAAACCAUCAUAAAGCUCACCAUGUUAAAACGGGCACUUGCGAGGUGGUGGCACUCCACAGAUGCUGUAAUAAGAACAAGAUAGAAGAGCGGUCACAAACAGUCAAGUGCUCCUGUUUCCCCGGGCAGGUGGCAGGCACCACGCGAGCUGCUCCCUCUUGUGUGGAUGCUUCAAUAGUGGAACAGAAAUGGUGGUGCCACAUGCAGCCAUGUCUGGAGGGAGAAGAAUGUAAAGUUCUUCCAGAUCGGAAAGGAUGGAGCUGUUCUUCUGGGAAUAAAGUGAAAACAACUAGGGCAAACGUGUAGAACUCUUCAAGUUCGCAUGGAGAAGUAGAAAGAGAAGGUUUCUGCUGUGCCUGAUGACAAUUUUUGAUUUUUCCACACUCAAAAAAAAAAAAACAAAACAAAUUCUUGCUCUAUGUUGGAGCACUAUAGUGGCGAAUACUAGUAUAUUGGUCGGAUUCUGAGGAAGGGACAGAAGUUUCCUUGAGGAAUAAAGAUUCAAAACAUCUCCAGAAAUGAUCUCUCAUCUCGGUUUAUUUCUCACAGACAGCAGGUAACCCAUUAACCCAGGAUAAAUCAGGGGAUCGUCAAAGCUGAUUUCAUUGAACAUAUGCAUAGGAACUUCACUCCUGAGGUGAUCUUGGUGGAGAGAGAUUUUUAUACUGUUCUGAAGAUGCACGCCAAACUCUUAUUUCCAAGAGAUUUUGUGGCUCAUAAUCAGCAUAUUUCUGAAGUCAAGACUUAAAAAAUCCUACAUGAAGUUCUGUGUCAUGAAGAUUUUAUCAGAUUUGAACUGUGUUCAAACUUGUAAAACUGCACUCACUUAAAGAAUUCGAAGUUGCCAGUCUGUGGAGUUGAUGAAAAGUUAGUUAUCCGGGUGACACCAGAGAUAUCUUUUGGAUUCUUGCUCUAAACGUGAACUGCUUUACUAGUUUCUCAGACUCCCAAGUGAGUGUGCUGGCCUUCUCUCAUGGAUAUGUUCCUGAGUCUUUUGUUCGUUGGCAAAUGGAACUGCACAUGGCUUUAGUGACGUUUCCUUUGCAAACUUCUCUGGCAUGGUGUGGACUGAGACCAUUUUAUUUGUAUCCUAAUCUUAGAGCUCUGAAAGCCUACAUGUUUCAACAUCUUAAAGUUGCUUUCUUAAAGGAAUGGAAAUAUAUAUCCAUUGAUAAUAAUUAUGGCUGGCAAGUACUACUUAACUGAAUACAUCAAUCAUAUAAGAAUGUAUAGACAAGCUGACACGUUUCCCCAAGGCUAACAAAUGACUGGACUGCAGCUCUCUGUCAAUUAAAUAGGUAGUCCAUAGAACCGAAGAACCAUUUUCAUUAGAGACCAUUCUAGAGCACUUUCUUUCAGUUUCUUUCGAAAAGUGGGCCUUUAUUUUAUUUCUUUUCAAAACUUUUUCCUUACACAAAAAUCAGCAGUGACCAGUCAAGUACGUAGGUAGCCUUCAAUUUCAAAAAAAUUUGCCAGGGAUGCAUGUGGGUUUCUGAUUUCGUAGCUUAAGAGUCAUUAAUUUAGAUUUUCUCUAGUAAUUUUUUUACUUCUUUUUUUUUUUAAGCUCAUUUUAAAAGACUGCCCCUUGCUCGAUUCCAAUGACAGUUUGAAUGCUUAUAGACUGUUUAGUCUGUUGAUAGAAUUGUUCAUUUUUGGGUCUCAAACUUAUAAAUAUUUCCUUACACAGCUGUCCCAUUCAAGCAAUUGAUUAAGUCAGUUCUUGUCCACGCUUUCAUACGUAGUCUUUGAAACGUUCGUGGUUUUAAGUUUGACAGGAAAGUCUUAUAAAUUUUUAAAGGCCUUAAACAUGUAUGUGUAUUUUUUCUUCUGAGUUAUUGCAGAAUGUAUAACUUUAUAUGUUUAUUUUGUUUUGUUUGUGAUGUGAAGGGAGAGAAGAAUGGAAAUUGCAGAGCCCUCCUGUCAUAAUAGUGUGUAAAUGUGUACUUUAUAGGUCUGCAAAGCGAGAGACUUCUGUGUUUUACUCCUCUUAGAGGAAUAGAAAGAUGCUUUGGAAAUUGUCCUGUUAGAGUUCCAUUAUAUUAGAGAAAGUAUGGACAUACUAGCUUUCAAAUUUACUACCACUUCUGUGAUUAAUUAGCAUUAAAAGCUAAUGUACAUGGAGGAGUUCAGUUUGUUCAUUGGUUACAACUUCCAAAGAGCAGUAGACUUUCCCAAUUCUUUUCUAGACAGAACACCCAAGAACUAUAAUAAUUAUUAAAGCUAUAUUUGUUUGUAGGUAUACUUUUGACACUUAAGUAGGGCAGUGCUUCAUAACUGGGUGUCACAUAUAUGGCCACUAUAAGCCCCCAGUAUAUUUCAAGGUGGUCCCUGAAUUGUACUAUAUGCCCCAUUUAAACAAUUUCACGAGUGGCUAACUGAUGGAAUGGCAUGGGAAGGGCAGGUCAUAGGAAGGAAACAAAGUCAGAAAGGAAGCCAUGAUGGUUGGAUGAACAUUGAGAAACACUGAACUAGAGAAUACUGCUGCACAAGCUCAUGGAAUGAAGUUACUUCUUUCCUCUACUUUAAUUAUGAAAAAAACAAAAACAAAAAACACACAGCUGACUGAGUGGAUUUUACAAUGGAGCAAGACUAUAUAAACUCAUAAAGAAAGGCAUAAUUGUUGUGCUGGAGUUUCUUCAUUCAUUAAAAUGUUAAUUUUGGAACAAAGUAGAAAACUAUUGUUUUGGUAAUUAUGAAUUUGUCCUGCUUUUGUUAAAAAUUAGAGAUCUUGUUCCAUAUUUAAAAGUAUGUUCUUUAAAACACUGGAAAUUCUGUAUUAUAUACAAGUGUAAUACAUGCAUAUCAAUAGAAAAAUAAAUGUAAUUUCAACUAUACUGAGUAUCCCCAGUAGAUUAAUGUUGUGUUAUUAAAAAAUGUUGAAUAAAAUUGGGAUAUAAAAUGGA